ACGAUGAGAAACCAAGCCAUCCUCCUAAACAUGGAUGUGUCUUGAUCACUCGCAGAAUUCCAUCAUUUGUAGCCUCAUAUGUUUCCUGUGCGUGAUUAUACAGAGAGGUCAAACUGCGAGCGCGGGACACACGUGUCGCAGCAUCUUCUCAUCCCCAGGAAGUGUGUUUUUUAGAGAGUAGCGGGUGUUAAUAGAUUUCAGACCGUUCGCAGCUGCUCGCAAAAAGCGCUUCAAAGUGCUCAAUCGCCUGAUGAAAGAGCGUCACGUCAUCUGUCACGGGUCUCUUCGUGGGACAGAGACACGCGACGUCGCCAAAAUCAGCUCUCCGCGAGGUCAUGAUGACUGCACGCACACUUCCUCGAGGACUUCACCUUGCAAGUCUUGUGCAUCAACCUUGCAACCAGAAGAGGGCGAUGGAGCAUCAAGAUGCAGAAAAGACUGAGGCUUUUUACUGGUUUGCCUUUCCUCAUGUUCUGGUUCUUCAUGACACCACAAGAAUUUGGAAUCUGAAGGUACAAGGCUGUGGUGGAGAAUAAGAUGAUUGGCCAUUUUUGCAGUUCGUCAUAUAGGAGGCAGGGCUGUCGGAGAUAGCCGUCCUUUUAGGGCCAUAAUUGAGGCGGGCAGGACGGCAUGUGUGGGCGUGAUAGGGUGAUUGUGUCACAGAAAGCAAGAUUGACAGGAGUGACAGCUCCAUUUAUUGGCUGCUAGAGUCUAGUCAGCAAAAGGGCAUUCAGGGCCACCGACUGGCUCUGCUGGCGGCCUGAGCAGUCGGCGCCUGUAAUGCAUGAAGCCCUGGAGUCAUGGUAAAUAGCAUCUCUUGUGCUUCAGGAAUUUUAUCCAACAUGGAGGAUGAAGAGAUUUCUCCUGCUUCUCCAUAUGCAUGAGCAAAGCGGGGGGAGAAAACGUUGGCAAUGAAGGAAAGAAGUGCCAUGGCGGGGAGUCUAAUCAAGUGACAAACUGCUAAGCUGACUCAAAACACGAGCUGUUCAUCGGAGAUAGAUCAGGAGCGUCACGGUGGGUUCGGCUGGAUGAGUGAGUCAUUUUCUUCAAGUACGUUGGAAUGAACACUUCUCAAAUGGGUUAAAGUGAAAUGACUGGGGCCACCAGGAUCAAUAUAGUGUAGAUUUCAUGCCUGUCUGAUCACGGACACAAGAGAAGGUGCCAGUUUUCUUUCUCUAGUAUGUAAGUGUAUCUCUUUCUUAAGCAAUUCUGUAGUGAAGGCUAUUUGUGUUUCCAACAGAGACUUUGUGCUGGAUGGUUUUAAAUUGAAUCAGCAAGCUCAUAUAGAAAUAGAUUCAUUCAUUCCUUUAUCAGGGGUCGCAACUGCAAAAUGAACCGCCAAUUUAUCCAGCAUA